rnacentral:ncRNA from 2 species
AACGUAGGACGCGAACGUUAUCCGGAGUUACUGGGCGUAAAGCGCGUGCAGGCGGUUGAGUAAGUUACCUAUGAAAGCUUCCGGCUAAACUGGGAGAGGAUAGGUGAUACUGCUGAACUAGAGUGAGAAAGAGGCAAGUAGAAUUCCAGGUGUAGUGGUGAAAUGCGUAGAUAUCUGGAGGAAUACCAGUGGCGAAGGCGGCUUGCUGGUUCUCAACUGACGCUGAGACGCGAAAGCGUGGGUAGCGAACGGG